rnacentral:rRNA from 1 species
AUAGGUAGAGAAUACUAAGGCGUUCGGGUGAACUGUGGUUAAGGAACUCGGCAAAUUGCCCCCGUAACUUCGGGAGAAGGGGGGCCUUCGCUGGUGUAGGACUUUGCGUCCGUAGCUGGUGGGGGCCGCAGUGGCCAGGGGGAAGCGACUGUUUACUAAAAACACAGGUCCGUGCGAAGUCGUAAGACGAUGUAUACGGACUGACGCCUGCCCGGUGCCGGAACGUUAAGGGGACCGCUUAGCCGCACUUGUGUGGCGAAGGUGAGAACUUAAGCGCCGGUAAACGGCGGUGGUAACUAUAACCAUCCUAAGGUAGCGAAAUUCCUUGUCGGGUAAGUUCCGACCUGCACGAAUGGCGUAACGACUUCCCCGCUGUCUCAACCACAGACCCGGUGAAAUUGCAGUACGAGUAAAGAUGCUCGUUUCGCGCAGCAGGACGGAAAGACCCCGGGACCUUCACUAUAGCUUGACAUUGGUGUUUGGGAUGGCUUGUGUAGGAUAGGUGGGAGACUGGGAAGCUGCAACGCUAGUUGUGGUGGAGUCAUUGGUGAAAUACCACUCUGGUCGUUUUGGAUGUCUAACCCGCGCCCGUGUAUCCGGGUGGGGGACAGUGUCUGGUGGGUAGUUUAACUGGGGCGGUUGCCUCCUAAAGAGUAACGGAGGCGCCCAAAGGUUCCCUCAGCCUGGUUGGCAAUCAGGUGUCGAGUGUAAGUGCACAAGGGAGCUUGACUGUGAGACUGACGGGUCGAGCAGGAGCGAAAGCUGGGACUAGUGAUCCGGCAUCGGCAUGUGGAAGCGGUGUCGCUCAACGGCUAAAAGGUACCCCGGGGAUAACAGGCUGAUCUUCCCCAAGAGUCCAUAUCGACGGGAUUUUUGGCACCUCGAUGUCGGCUCGUCGCAUCCUGGGGCUGGAGUAGGUCCCAAGGGUUGGGCUGUUCGCCCAUUAAAGCGGUACGCGAGCUGGGUUUAGAACGUCGCGAGACAGUUCGGUCCCUAUCCGCUGCGCGCGCAGGAGACUUGAAAGGGGCUGUCCCUAGUACGAGAGGACCGGGACGGACGAACCUCUGGUGUGCCAGUUGUUCCGCCAGGAGCACGGCUGGUUGGCUACGUUCGGUAGGGAUAACCGCUGAAAGCAUCUAAGCGGGAAGCUCGCCUUGAGAUGAGGUCUCCCACCCAGUGAUGGGGUAAGGCUCCCUGGAGACGACAGGGUUGAUAGGCCGGAAGUGGAAGCACGGUAACGUGUGGAGCUGACCGGUACUAAUAGGCCGAGGACUUGACC